AGCAGGUUAGUGAUGGGGGGGGGAGGUGACGGGACAGCCAGGGGCCCGGGAGGGGGUUAGUGAUGCGGGGGGAGGUGACGGGACAGCCAGGGGCCCGGGAGCGGGUCAGUGAUGGGGGGGGGAGGUGACGGGACAGCCAGGGGCCCGGGAGCGGGUUAGUGAUGGGGGGGGGAGGUGACGGGACAGCCAGGGGCCCGGGAGCGGGUUAGUGAUGGGGGGGGGAGGUGACGGGACAGCCAGGGGCCCAGGAGCGGGUUAGUGAUGGGGGGGGAAGGUGACGGGACACCCAGGGGCCCGGGAGCGGGUUAGUGAUG